rnacentral:tRNA from 1 species
UCAAAAAUAAUUUAAUAAAAAUACUUGUUAUUACAAUACAAUAAAUAAGGGCCCAACCUCUUUUUUUGAA